CCAAGAGACCCGCCUGGACCGUGUGGGCAAGGUGGAUCCCACAGGGAAGGUCACCACAACUACUCACAAUAACUGAGGAGGCCAGACACAUUGUGAAAACCUUACUGCGAAGGCAUCAGAGAGCUGCAGAGGCUGCGAGGACUUAACGAACUAAAAUUCCAGAGAAUGGAGAACUGUCAGAUAAGCAGGUGACCCACAGCCAUCUUUUUACCUGGGGACAUUUGCCUAUUUGGGACACUGGGCUAAGGAUUGGGCUUGGCCCAGGCAGAGAGCUACAGCCGGGGAAGAAGAAACCAGCAAAGAUUCUCACUGUCACAGGGAGGAAAGUGGCAAAAUCGGAGUGUCCAGGGCCACAACCAGGCAGCGGGGCCCUCAGCCCCACCCCAAGACACCUGUAGGAUCUCAAUGCUGCUGCAGGAGGAGGCUCAGGAGCAAGUUGAGCAGCUCUGUGAGGCUGGACUGCACUUCCCACAGCCUUUCAAAGUGGGGAGAUCAAGACCCGCCAGGCUCUCAGCUGAAAUCUGGAGAGACCAAUCCCCCAAACCAGGGCAAACCAGAGGAAGCCUGAACCCCAUCAAACUACACACCAGUCCACCCGGGCCCAUCCCUCACUGGGUUGAGGGACCUGCCCCUCUGUCCAUCCUAACUGCCUGAGGUUUUUGCUCCCAAUACAAGCCAGGUGGCUCCAAUUAGAACAACUAAUGUGCAAAUAACAACUAUAAUUGCCAGGCCGGGCACAGUGGCUCACACCUGUAAUCCCA
rnacentral:lncRNA from 10 species